UACGAAGGGUGCAAACGUUUGCUCGGAAUCAUUGGGGCGUAAAGCGCACGUAGGCGGCGCUGUAAGUCGGACGUGAAAUCCCUCGGCUCAACCGAGGACGUGCAUCCGAAACUACAGUGCUCGAGUAUGGAAGAGGGUCGCGGAAUUCUCGGUGUAGAGGUGAAAUUCGUAGAUAUCGGGAGGAACACCAGUGGCGAAGGCGGCGACCUGGGCCAAUACUGACGCUGAGG
rnacentral:rRNA from 1 species